UGUUAAAAAAUUAAUUCAUUUGUACAGUUAAAAACUAAUGUGAAUGAUAGAAUAACUGAAUACUAGCACAUGGCGUACCUUGUUUACAUCAUGUUGAUGUGCAUGAACCAAUUUUCAAUCAUAAAAAUGGAUGGAAUUUUAAUA
rnacentral:pre_miRNA from 1 species